rnacentral:rRNA from 1 species
UCUCUGCCCGCNACUCGGCGANAAGUCCAUUUAACCUUAUCNUUUAGAGGAAGGAGAAGUCGUAACAAGGUUUCCGUAGGUGAACCUGCGGAAGGAUCAUUG